UAGUGGCGAACGGGUGAGUAACACGUGGGCAAUCUGCCCUUCACUCUGGGACAAGCCCUGGAAACGGGGUCUAAUACCGGAUAAUACCUGCCUGGGCAUCUGGGUGGGUUGAAAGCUCCGGCGGUGAAGGAUGAGCCCGCGGCCUAUCAGCUUGUUGGUGAGGUAGUGGCUCACCAAGGCGACGACGGGUAGCCGGCCUGAGAGGGCGACCGGCCACACUGGGACUGAGACACGGCCCAGACUCCUACGGGAGGCAGCAGUGGGGAAUAUUGCACAAUGGGCGAAAGCCUGAUGCAGCGACGCCGCGUGAGGGAUGACGGCCUUCGGGUUGUAAACCUCUUUCAGCAGGGAAGAAGCGAGAGUGACGGUACCUGCAGAAGAAGCGCCGGCUAACUACGUGCCAGCAGCCGCGGUAAUACGUAGGGCGCAAGCGUUGUCCGGAAUUAUUGGGCGUAAAGAGCUCGUAGGCGGCUUGUCACGUCGGGUGUGAAAGACCGGGGCUUAACCCCGGUUCUGCAUUCGAUACGGGCUAA
rnacentral:rRNA from 1 species